rnacentral:rRNA from 1 species
ACCUGGUUGAUUCUGCCAGUAGUCAUAUGCUUGUCUCAAAGAUUAAGCCAUGCAUGUCUAAGUAUAAGCAAUUACAAAGCGAAACU